UACGGAGGGGACUAGCGUUGUUCGGAAUUACUGGGCGUAAAGCGCACGUAGGCGGAUUUGUAAGUCAGGGGUGAAAUCCCGGGGCUCAACCUCGGAACUGCCUUUGAUACUGCAAAUCUCGAGUCCGGAAGAGGUGAGUGGAAUUCCUAGUGUAGAGGUGAAAUUCGUAGAUAUUAGGAAGAACACCAGUGGCGAAGGCGGCUCACUGGUCCGGUACUGACACUCAUCCGCGAAAGCGUGGGGAGCAAACAGGG
rnacentral:rRNA from 1 species